rnacentral:rRNA from 1 species
UACGUAGGGCGCAAGCGUUAUCCGGAAUUAUUGGGCGUAAAGAGCUCGUAGGCGGUUUGUCGCGUCUGCCGUGAAAGUCCGGGGCUCAACUCCGGAUCUGCGGUGGGUACGGGCAGACUAGAGUGAUGUAGGGGAGACGUGGAAUUCCUGGUGUAGCGGUGAAAUGCGCAGAUAUCAGGAGGAACACCGAGUGGCGAAGGCAGGUCUCUGGGCAUUAACUGACGCUGGAGGAGCGAAAGCAUGGGGGAGCGAACAGG